GACGAACGCUGGCGGCGUGCUUAACACAUGCAAGUCGAACGGAAAGGCCCUGCUUGCAGGGUACUCGAGUGGCGAACGGGUGAGUAACACGAGGGUGAUCUGCGCUGCACGUCGGGAUAAGCCUGGGAAACCGGGUCUAAUACCGGAUAGGAGGCAUUUUUAGUGUGGUGGUUGGAAAGUUUUUUGGGUGUAGGAGGAGCUCGCGGGCUAUCAGCUUGUUGGUGGGGUAAUGGCCUCCCAAGGGGGGGGAGGGUAGCCGGCCGGAGGGGGGGGACGGCCACAUUGGGACUGAGGUACGGCCCAGGCUCCGACGGGAGGCAGCAGGGGGGAAUAUUGCACAAGGGGCGCAAGCCUGAUGCAGCGACGCCGCGGGGGGGAAGGCGGCCUUCGGGGUGUAAACUCCUUUCGCUAGGGACGAAGCUUUUUGUGACGGUACCUAGAGAAGAAGCACCGGCUAACUACGUG
rnacentral:rRNA from 1 species